UGAACUUAAGCAUAUCAAUAAGCGGAGGAAAAGAAACCAACAGGGAUUGCCUCAGUAACGGCGAGUGAAGCGGCAACAGCUCAAAUUUGAAAUCUGGCGUCUUCGGCGUCCGAGUUGUAAUUUGCAGAGGAUGCUUCUGGGCAGCCACCGGUCUAAGUGCCUUGGAACAGGCCGUCAUAGAGGGUGAGAAUCCCGUAUGUGACCGGAAGGGCACCCUCCACGUAGCUCCUUCGAAGAGUCGAGUUGUUUGGGAAUGCAGCUCAAAAUGGGAGGUAAAUUUCUUCUAAAGCUAAAUACCGGCCAGAGACCGAUAGCGCACAAGUAGAGUGAUCGAAAGAUGAAAAGCACUUUGGAAAGAGAGUUAAAAAGCACGUGAAAUUGUUGAAAGGGAAGCGCUUGCAACCAGACUUGCCUGCGGUGUUCCGCCGGUCUUCUGACCGGUCUAUUCGCCGCCUGCAGGCCAGCAUCGUUUGGGGCCGCCGGAUAAAAGCGUCGGGAAUGUGGCUCCCCUCGGGGAGUGUUAUAGCCCGGCGUGCAAUACGGCGCGUCUCGAGCGAGGUCCGCGCUUCGGCUAGGAUGCUGGCGUAAUGGUUGUAAGCGGCCCGUCUUGAAACACGGACCAAGGAGUCUAACAUCUAUGCGAGUGUUCGGGUGUCAAACCCCUACGCGUAAUGAAAGUGAACGGAGGUGGGAACUUUUUGUGCACCAUCGACCGAUCCUGAUGUCUUCGGAUGGAUUUGAGUAAGAGCAUAGCUGUUGGGACCCGAAAGAUGGUGAACUAUGCCUGAAUAGGGUGAAGCCAGAGGAAACUCUGGUGGAGGCUCGCAGCGGUUCCCACGGCAAACCCCUCGCC
rnacentral:rRNA from 1 species